rnacentral:snRNA from 1 species
GUGCUUGCUUCAGCAGCACAUGUGCUAAAAUUACAAGGAUUGCAAAGAAAAUUAGCAUGGCCCCAGUGCAAGGGUGACAUGCAAAUUCAUGAAGUAUUCCAUGUUUUU